GACGAACGCUGGCGGCGCGCCUAACACAUGCAAGUCGAACGAGCGAGAGAGAGCUUGCUUUCUCGAGCGAGUGGCGAACGGGUGAGUAACGCGUGAGGAACCUGCCUCAAAGAGGGGGACAACAGUUGGAAACGACUGCUAAUACCGCAUAAGCCCACGACCCGGCAUCGGGUAGAGGGAAAAGGAGCAAUCCGCUUUGAGAUGGCCUCGCGUCCGAUUAGCUAGUUGGUGAGGUAACGGCCCACCAAGGCGACGAUCGGUAGCCGGACUGAGAGGUUGAACGGCCACAUUGGGACUGAGACACGGCCCAGACUCCUACGGGAGGCAGCAGUGGGGAAUAUUGCACAAUGGGGGAAACCCUGAUGCAGCGACGCCGCGUGGAGGAAGAAGGUCUGCGGAUUGUAAACUCCUGUUGUUGAGGAAGAUAAUGACGGUACUCAACAAGGAAGUGACGGCUAACUACGUG
rnacentral:rRNA from 1 species